rnacentral:rRNA from 1 species
UACGUAGGGUGCGAGCGUUGUCCGGAAUUAUUGGGCGUAAAGAGCUCGUAGGCGGUUUGUCGCGUCGACUGUGAAAACUCGGGGCUUAACCCCGAGCCUGCAGUGGAUACGGGCAGACUAGAGGUAGGUAGGGGAGAAUGGAAUUCCCGGUGUAGCGGUGAAAUGCGCAGAUAUCAGGAAGAACACCCGUGGCGAAGGCGGCUCUCUGGGACGGUACUGACGCUGAGACGCGAAAGCGUGGGGAGCGAACAGG